rnacentral:misc_RNA from 1 species
GUAGGUGAACCUGCGGAAGGAUCAUUAACGAGUUAGGGUCUUCCAGGCCCGACCUCCCAACCCCAUGUUUAUUGAACCUCUGUUGCUUUGGCGGACCCGUCUCACGACCGCCGGAGGACCGCCGCGAGGCGUCCUCUGACCAGCGUCCGCCGACAGCCAACCACUUAACUCUGAAUAAAUCGUGUCAUUAUGUCUAAGUCUAUGAUUAAAUUAAAGCAAAACUUUCAACAACGGAUCUCUUGGUUCUGGC